AUUGCCCUAGCUCAAUUCAGAAAGCCCUCCAGGAAGAUGAACACCGUCUUUAUUGUGCCUCACGAAGGAGAUUAAGCCUAGCUAACCCUAACCCUGUAUUCAUCGUGCCUCACCGUACCCUAACCACGACGAAGAACCCAUAUCGAAGAACCCCUAACCGCGACGAAGAACCCCUAAUAGCACUCUGCGAAGAACAUCACCGGUCGUCAGCACUCGGAAUGCCUCCGUCGAAGAACCCCUAACCCUCCUUUGAGUUUCUUCUCUCUUCUCUCGCCACUCUCACCCUCAAGCUCACCGAGUCUCACCUCUCUCACGGCUGGUCUCACCGUCGACCUCUCUCUAUCUCUCUGGUAUAUUGCUUCUCUCGCGGGCAUUUCAGACUCAAGGUCGUCGCGCUCUGUCACCAUCGCUGCUCUGUCGCAAGCGAAUCGAUGGAAUUCAACCCGGUCCCAAUCGGUUCCUGCUCCAAAGAGAACCAGAUCAUCUACCAGCAGUUUUUCAAUUACGCCGAUUCAGAUGGCGAUGGCCGCAUUACGGGGAGUGAUGCCACCAAGUUUUUUGCCAUGUCCAAUUUGUCUCGCCAGGAUCUUAAGCAGGUGUGGCUAUUGCUGAUUCAAAGCGACAAGGAUCUCUUGGUUUUGCAGAGUUCAUCAUUGCUAUGCAGCUAAUUUCUUUGGCACAAUCCAGCCAACCAAUAACACAAGAACUUCUUUCUAGUGGUGGCAUUUUACUUCCAACCAUUUUUCUGGGAAUCUACCUGCUACAUUUGCAAAUCUCACUAAAUUGAAUCACGUUCGACUAGGCAAUAAUCAAUUUUUUGGAACUAUACCAAAUUUUAUUCAGAGCUGGACAACUCUUCAAAGACUCUGUGAAUCUUUACCUUAUUCCCUGAAAUUUAAACUUUUAGCUGUUUCUUUUUUAAAUACAUUUUAGUUAUAAUUGGCUGACCAAAGAUUUGUUCUUAAUUAUUCCAGGGUGGUGCAAGGGAGUGGUAUGAAUUUUUUUUAUUCAGAAAUUAAAGCUACUCAUAAUUCUUGCUUCUUUUUUAUUUGAUGAAGUGCAUUCAUCAACAUGCUUCUCAGUUCAGUCUUUUGAUUAUAAUAUAGGGGUUUAAAAUAUCUUAAGUUGACUUUUUGAAACCAUUUCUUUUCUCUCUUAAAUAAUACUUGCUUUGGACAUAACUUCUUUUUCAGAGACAUCAUUUAUUCAGUUUUAACAAAUUAAGUGGAAUCAUUCCAAGCUCCUUCAGUCGCCUAUUGAACAUGAACAUACUGAAAGAAAUCUUUUCUAACUUUUUAUUUUUCAGUUACAUGAAAUGAGGAUUGAGGGAAACCAUUUCUUGCCUUCAUUAUUAGAAAAUUGAAAAUUGAAUGCCAUUGACACUGAUAGAGAACCAAUGGCAGGAUUAAAAUGCAGAUAGACUUGGUUUCCUUCUCAAUUAAACAUGCGGUUUAUGAUAAUUUGAGUUGCAGCUUGAAGCUUUGGUAUGUGCUUAUUUAUGAUUUCUGUUCUUAUACCUUGAUUUUUUCCUUUUCUCUGUUGGGCUUGAUUCAGAGAAAAAAGAGACGAGCUUGCCCUAGCUUCUAGUGCUUGAUGCUAGCCUUGCUUGCCAUGAUGCAUCAAAAUCCAACUUUGAACGGUAAGCUCUUUCCAACUGUAGUAAGUCAUUGUUCUUUCAAGCUAAUGUUGGUCAUGGCAGCUGAGUUUCUUUGGAUGAUUGAAGAACGAAACUCUCGCACGAUCUAGAAUUUUCACAAAUAAAUUCCCAUUACAAUAGAAAGUUUUUCCAGGAAAUUCUUGGGCAAAGGUAACUCAGCCACCCUAUUGAAGUGACCACAAAAGCACAGGUUAAUGUGGUGAUGUCUGAUAAGGCCUUGGUUAAGCAAUUGCAAAAAGAGGUAGUUAGGUUGGAAAGUGAGUUAAGAACCCCUAAUCCCACUGCCUCCAAUUGUGAUUAUGUAUGAUUGUUGAGGAAGAAGGAUCUCCAGAUAGAAAAUUUAGAGAAGGAAGUUAAGGAGCUAGCUAAGCAACAUGAUCGAAGAGGAUCAGAAAUCUAAAAAAGACGAGGAAGAUAACCGAAAUGUAGUUAUGUGAAGAGUUUAGAUUCAGGAAGACAAUACUGAUCGAGAAGACAGAAAUGGGGCUGGACGAAGUGAGAGCGGUCAUGGAAGAACUUGCAGCUGAUUUAAGAAGGAUUUGCAUUAAGAAUGAAGCUUAAGAGUUAUUUUUUAAGAUGUUUCACCGAUUAAUCAUGUAAAUAAUUUCAUGAAAAUUAAUAAAAAAAUUAAUUCUUUUUAUA